rnacentral:lncRNA from 1 species
AGAUAGUCUAGCACCCGUUUUUUUAGCCUUCCAGCUAAUUCUAUACACCAAGAUUCAUCCAGCACCUCUGACCGAUCACAACCUCGACAAUGAUAUCAGAUGCAGCGCUCCUGGAAAGCGUGUGGAAGCCCUCACCCAACCCGGAAGACAUGUGUCGAUGCGCAAGCACCAACAACAAAAAAGGUGUCAGGAAUAGGCGGGGCUGAUCCGCGAGUUGAUGCGGGAGUUUUCCUGGCAGCAGAGCACAGGGCCUUCAAAGUCUGUGAGGGGUGUUGCGGUGCUGCUAGUGGAGCAGCGAGGCCCGGAACCGGAGUAGCAGAACCCCUAGAGUCGUCAGGAGUUUCCUUCCCCAAGGGAGCGUGCCCGUCGUCAUCCUCAUCCCAAUCCUCCGAUUCUGAUUAUCGGAGGCGGAGAAAGAGAGGACGGUGCUGUGCGCGAAAAGAAGCGACAGUUUUCAUCAAGGGGAAGCUGCAGGACCUUGAGCAAGUAAUUGUGUGCAUUGUUUGAAGUGUUAUUCAGCAGGGUUGUGAUGAUGUAUCAAUUGCUUGACACGCUGUUGUGACGUGAAUAAUGUGCUGGAAUGUCACUCUUCUGUAUGUUAAAUAAG